ensembl:miRNA mir124-1 microRNA mir-124-1
CACUUCAAAGGUUGUCACUCUGCGUGUUCACAGCGGACCUUGAUUUAAUGUCCAUACAAUUAAGGCACGCGGUGAAUGCCAAGAGAGGAAUCUACAGCAUCGUG